GAUGAACGCUAGCGGCAGGCUUAACACAUGCAAGUCGAGGGGCAGCACGGGUAGCAAUACCUGGUGGCGACCGGCGCAAGGGUGCGUAACGCGUGAGCAACAUGCCCUAUACAGGGGGAUAAUCCAGGGAAACUUGGUCUAAUAUCCCAUAGUAUUUAGAGGAGGCAUCUUCUAUAAAUUAAAGCUUCGGUGGUAUAGGAUUGGCUCGCGUGACAUUAGCUAGAUGGUGAGGUAACGGCUCACCAUGGCAAUGAUGUCUAGGGGUUCUGAGAGGAAGGCCCCCCACACUGGGACUGAGACACGGCCCAGACUCCUACGGGAGCAGCAGUGAGGAAUAUUGGACAAUGGAUGGAAAUCUGAUCCAGCCAUGCCGCGUGCAGGAAGACAGCCCUAUGGGUUGUAAACUGCUUUUAUAUGGGAGCAAUAAGGUCUACGUGUAGACUGAUGAGAGUACCAUAUGAAUAAGC
rnacentral:rRNA from 1 species